ensembl:lncRNA
UUAAAUUGUAUUCAUUGAUCAGCCUGAAGUACAUAAAACAAACAAAUAUACCCACACAGACACUUCACCUCGUGAAAUUGAAGUUACCACAAAUAACUCUCACAUUCCAUACGCAAGAAGUUCACGUAACAGUAGCACAGCCUUCUCAGAGCAAAUGUGUGUGUGUCUCAUUAGAGACCCUGAGUUACAUUUCAUAGUACAUUUUGGUUGUCAGCCUUUAUGAACCCGCUGCCCAUCCUCUUUCCUAAUUUCUGUGGAAGGAAGGUAAGUGGGGUACUGUGGGCUGAUGGGAGAGUGCUGGGAGUAUGGAUUCAGUGGGCACAAAAAGAGCCAUCACUGUGUGUGGCUCGCCCUUUGGACUUAAACAUCUAGAAAUCCACCUGAGAACAGAGGCAUCAUUUCCUGACUACAAAUGAUUGAUUCUAGGAACCCUUUGUUACGUGAGUGCUUAGAUAUCCAAUUUUAUAGUUAUUACACAAUUACACAUGCACACACCUACGGAAAGAUAAUCUAUUACUUGAUGAAAAAAUAAUCUUAGUUAUACCAAAGAGGUAUCAUAUAACUUGUGCUUAUUACCUUAAGCUGAUAAAUAUCCUUCCAAUUUAUGAAUAAGUUUGAUCACACAAUAAUUUGCUGCAGUUAACUCUCUUAGAAGUCACCAAAAGAAUCUUUAAAGUCUUACUGAACAGAUAAAACAACUUUACUCUUCAUAAGUCAAACAAAGACCUUUUUCUGGAGCUGGGACGGAAAUUCAAGUCUGCUACUUGAUUGUCUCCUAUCAUCAAAUAAUGUAGGGACAAAUUAAGAAACACACGGAAGCACAUGAACAAAGAGAGCAGGCAUACUGGGAAGUUAGUUAUUUAUUUACUUUGUAAUUACAAACACUUAUAUAGCAGUUAUGAAGUGUCAGGCAUGGUUCCAUUUAAAAUAUUGACUCUUGAAUAGUUUAAUAGUUCAAAUGCGGCAGAAACAAUAGAUAUCUGUAGGAUCUGACACAAAAAAGAGCAUCACUAGCAUGUCUGAACAUGGAAUUACUGUGAGCAGUGGGUCAACCUGUAGCUCUGCAUUCUGUCCAGACAUUCUUACAGCACGUUCCCAGUGGAUCACUUCUCACCGAUACAGUCUGUGCGCUCACCACUUCUCAAGGUGCUAAGCAUUGCAACCCUACUUUCCUGUUCUGAUCAAGGUUUUCCUUUUCUCUGCACCUUCUAACAGUUCUUUAACAUCCUAACCAUGACUCAAAAUCCAAUUCUAUAAAUGCCUCCUUUAAAAGAAUUUCAGAGAACCUUGCAAAGUCGAUAUGUCCACAUGCAUCAUUCCACUUCUAGUAAACCUCUUUUAGCAUUCGUUUGGUAGCAGAAUCAUCUAUAGCUAUGUCUUACUUUUGUCCUGGAUCGCAGAGUUUUGGAGAGCAGGAACUACUUUGGAAAGAUACAAGCAAAAUGGAGGAAUUUUGAGAUUCUGUGGGCCCAGGCAUACCUCUUCCAGAAAAGGCCUAUGUAGGGUUUGAGCCAUGUGACUUACUUGCCUAAGGUCAUAUGUCUAGUUUGUGGCACAGGUAGGCCUAUCACAAAGUCUCUUGACUCUCAGUCCUGUGUUCUUGACCCCACAGAGCUCAACACAAUUUUGACCUGAUUGUCCUUCUAUGAUAAGGAUGGCCUUCCAGUAAGCCAAUGAGUAGAUACUGGGCACUCAAAUAUGCCUAGCGUAGCAAACAUAGGACUAAGGAAGAAAUAAGGGAAAACUAAAAAGAACCUAUAAUGUACUUAUUAAUAGGCCACCAAAUAGAAGUUUUUAGCCUUCAUCCUUAUAAUAAAGUACCAUUUUGAAGAAAUAUCCUAGUACUUUUCCUCAUUUAUGAACUGUAGAUGAUACAGGCUGUCACUAGAUCUGAACAAAACACAUGUGUUCACUUUAGUAUCAUAAAUCUCAUCUUCACUGUGCUAUAUUUUGCUUAUGACUCGUUUACGAGUUGUGCAUCUAUGUUCAUGAAGGAGAUUGUGGUUUUUCUUGAAAUGUGAGGUUCCUGGUCUCGUUAACAGCAAUGCCACAUCCUCCACUGCAGUCUCCGAGUUUGCCCAUUUCUUUGGUUCCAGCCUUCUCUGCUAGGAAGCACAAUGCUGAUGUCUGCAUUGGAACGUGCGGUAUAUUCCAGCAAGGUGGAGGCAAUGAAAGAGCAUGAGAGAAAUCCACCAGUGCUUCAGAUAAAGAAAUGAAAAUUCUUGGGGAAAUGCAAAUGGACACAAAAGCCAUUAAAGAGAGUUGAGUUCCUGAAGGCAAGGUUGUUUUCACAUUCAAAAGAAUUAACCAUUAUUACAGAUCAUGUUAACAGAAUGAAUGAGAAAAUCCAAUGAUCAUCGCAGCCUUGAAGAAACAGUUGGUGCAAUUCAAUAUUUUAGACGACUUAUUUUCCCACUGCAUCAUAUUCUUGACAAUCUUAAUUUAGCUUUCUUAUAUUUCACCAACUUUAAAGCUAACCCUGUUCGGUACUUGUUCUAGACCUCCGUGUCCAUUUCUUGUGAAGACCUUAGGCAUCUUUUUGAAGACGCCCCACCAUAGAUUUCCUGAAGAUUCUCUGGGUGAGUACAGAAGUCACUAUCUUCUAGGGAAGAGUGUAAGGAAAUGGGGCCUCAAUCAGGCAUUCCCAGGGAGGCCAGCUGUUGGACAGUCUCUGUGGCGCAGCCUGGGACCUCACGGUACUGCUGAGGAAAGCAGAAACGAAAGGAACACCACUCGGGUGGCCGGCAGCUACUCAGAGCAAGGGUCUCAGCAGCUGCCUCCUGGGAUCUGCAGACCAGAGGGGGAGCCAUUCCUCCAAAUGGGGACCAAGGGCUGGGAGCCAUGACUGUGAUCAGUGAGUCCCGCUUUCAGGCACUUCCGCACAAGAGUUCUGGGUCUGUUAGGGCCUCCUCACAGCCAGCUGCCCAGGUCAGGGACUGACAUGACUCAGGCCUCACGCGUGUUCCCUGAAUUGGCCUGCCUGCCAGCUCAGAGAGAGGAUGAGGAGCGAAUGUGUUUUAAAAUGAAAAUCAAUCGGAAAGCUCUUCCAGGAAACCUGACCCAACUGGAAUAGUGUCAAUAGUAGAGGGGAACCCCUGGUAUUAAAUAAAGACCGCCCACCCCAAAUUUAGGGAAAUUGGAUUGUUUCCCUGACAUACACGAUGAUUUCUAUCUCUGUCAUAGCAGAAGACAGAAGUACAGGAAUUGCCUGCUGCUCCGAUAUUAAGACGAGUUUCAGAAAGGUUCCCUUUGCUCUUCUAUUCAGUAGAGAAGCGAUAGGAAGGCCAGGAACACACUGACACUUUCUUGCUCUGUUGGGAUUCAUUGGAUUCCGUUACCAUUUAAUCUAGUGAUUCUGCGCUAGUAUUCAAAUGAGAAACUGAAGUUGUCUGUUCAUUCACAAAUAAUUUGAGUCCACAGCGACGAUGAGUUUCUUCUUAAUUCAAGUGGAAAUCCAGUUCAUUCAGGGGACCUGCUCCAUAGGUGUGGCUCUCUGUCUACUUAAUGUUCUCUGGAGACGAAGAACAAAGAGCUUGUGACAGGUUAAAGGUCAGGGGUCUCCUGUCCAGAUACGUUCUGAUGGUGUUUUAUUAAAUGUGGUGAUACCUGUCCCUCCCACGUCCUCGGCACCUGUCGUGCGUUAGGUAACGGCAUUUUUUUCCUGAGGAAAUGGCUCAAUCUAAGAUAUGGUGUUAGGGUUACUCUCUCUGCCUGUUUCAGCCUUUCAACCUCUAAUGCGUGUUGCAUUCUUUCUAAGUUCCUGGAGGCGGGCCCAUUUUCAAACCUUCGUUACUCAUUGCCAUUGAUAUUUACUGUGCAGAAAAAUUUAGGUUCACACAAAAACCUUCACCAGAAGUUCAUAGCAGCUUUACGCAUAGGGGACAAAAUUAUAAAAACCAAAAACUGUCCUUCAGUAGGUAAGUGGUUAAACUCUGGUGGCACUUUGUCUCCUUCUCCCAGGUCCCACCCUACGUGCACAGUGUCCCAUCAUCAGAUCCUGCCGCCACACACUCACCCCCCGGCUCCAUUCCCCAGGAGGAGAAGGCAGGUGCAGGAGAGCAGGGCCCUGUGCUCCUCUGGGCAGAGGGGACAGGCCCGCAGCAGCCUCUGUGCUCCCCAACCGCCCACCCUCAGAGGCUGGAGCUCAGUCGUGGUCGUCGCUGCUGUUCCAGACUGUGACAAGGACAGAGGGAGGGCGACGCUGGGCUGAGGGGGUUGCGCAGGCCCAUCUCCAUGGCAGCUUCAGCAGGGACAGAAGAAGCUCCUGGGGCAGCGUCAUCUAUUCCCACCAAGAGCUCGGGGUGCAGGGCAAGCUUUCCCUCUCCGGACUCAGGGCCAGCACUGCCCCACACUCCCCUCCCCGCCCUGUGACCUGUGAAUCUGUCUCUACACUUCCUGGAGCCUCUGCAAACCCCCUCCCUACAGCCCCAGAAGCUCAAGGGCCAGAGAACGCAGGAGAGGACGGGUGGGGCCCAUCCUGGGCUGGGGUCUAGAGGUUUUGCUCCUCUGGAAAUAUCCUAAAGCUUCCAUUUGUUUUUGUAAGGAUGGCGUGAUGGGUACUUCGCGUGCAAUGAGGGAGUUGGGGUCAGGGCGCGUGAGCCACGCUGCAGUCAGCCUCCCCGCAUGGCCCUGUCCCUUCUGGAAGCCACAGCAGACACUCAGGGAGGGCGGAGCCUGACCCUGCUUCUACCCCUAGCAGGGCAAGACGGAGGCCACCAGGUCUCAGGAGAAAAAACAUGUAUUUGGGGAAAAUUGGGGUUGGAAGUCACCAUCACCACAGAGGGUGAGGUAAGGAGAAAAACUAGAAGUCCUUGGCGAACCCUCAGUCUCUCUCCCAGUGCCCAGACAAAGGAUGAUACUGUCGAUGGCGCCUGAACAGCCCUGCCAUCCGACGCCGAGCUGCGUGUGACCCGUGCCUGGCUCUGGGCGGUGGCUGACGCGGGCUUGCCUUUGCAAGGGGCUCCUCUGGUGCUUCCUCCUUCUUGGGCCUCAGGCAGGGCAGGAAGCGUCUCAACAUUUUUCUGAAAGGGCUGACGUGAAAAACCUCUUCUUUUUCAGGCAGGGCCUGGAGGGGUUUGGUCCCGAGGGCGUCUCCUGUUCCUCCGACCUGGCUCCAAGACUGGGACCCUGACUCGCCCUCCAGUGUUGCCACCCCACGGCAGGGCUCUGGUGACGCCCCACCUCCACUCUCUUUCAGAGGCUCGUUCCUGGCCAUUGCUGACCCUGGACUCAGGUGUAGACGGCCUUGCUUGGCCCCCACGACCGUCCCGCUCUGCCCAUUUCUGUCCGAGAGGCUGAAUGCGAAGCUCGGAGAAGGCGGCCGGCCCUGCUGUCCCAUCAGAGAGGCCUCAGAGGGCCCACAGCCAUUGCCAGGACACAAUUGGAAUCAUUGUUAUAUCACCAAAGCUUUGACUGGAAUAUAAUAUUUGAGAUAAAUAUCCAGAUUCAGAUAUGACAAGACAGUUUUUGAGGAAUAGAUGUUGUCUUUAUGGAAUAAAGCCACUUGGAAAUAUCAGCCUGAUACCUUCUUUAUGAUUCCCAUCAACCUUACUAGGUGAGUAAAGAAGGUCACUUCCCUGACAGGUGACUGGAACCUCAGAAUAUUUUCGGGACCUUGAGAAAAGAGAGGAAUUCACCCAAAUCUAUAGGUAUUGAAGGAAGAGUCUGAUGACAAGUCCUUGGCUUGGUUUUUCUGGCCUCAAGAGGCCUAUAAAGUUCAAUCUGGGACUCCCUAUGAAAAGUUCCAGCAAAGCAGGUUUGAAAGAGCAUAUACAAUUAAUUGCUAUUCUUACUGUACUUAUACAAAUAAUUGGGCAAAGCUUAUUGUCUUAAUUGGAUAUAUUUGGUAAAAAUAAGGGUGAUUUUAGACAGAAAAAUUAUCUUUCAAUGAAAACUAUAGUACACAUUCAUGGACAUUAGGUUCUAGUUCUGAUAAUCAUCUUUGAGGUUUUGUUUUAUAUCUGUUAACUGGAAUGGGUCCUGAAUUCUUCUAGUGUCCUGAGAUAUCUGGCUACAAAUCUCCAAAUGCAUGUUUUCAAUUUUUUCCAUAAUUUUCAUUAGGAAUCAUUGAGAACUGAACUGCCCUUUUCCCUGAAAACUUGCAAACUGAAACUGGACAACCUAAUAUAAACUUAAGAAAGAUCCAUGCCUGUUGCUUGUGAGCCACUCAGAAAGAUACCUGAACAUGUAUGACAUCAUUGGACACAUUUCAAACUGUGAAAGAUGCUUCAACUCUGACAUCUACAAAUCCUUUGACAGGCUGCUCCCUGGGCUCAGGAACUGGUCUAUAAUUUGCUCCAACCAUCAACCUUGCUUUUCUUUUUGUUUCUCCAGAAAUGUGUCAUAUUAAAUACCUAGUUACUUGCUUACACAACAUAGGCCUAAACUUGGGAGCCCACCUGCAUCACCGUCUUACUAAGAGAGUGGAUUAAUGACAUGGAUCAACCUACACCCUUUAUCAGUAGGAAGAAGCUGGAGCAGUCAUCUCCCUAUGUCCUUCAAGAUUGAGGAAUGAAGAACAAAAAGGGGGGAUUUGUAAGCCACAGGCCUCCAGGAUCAGUUCAAGUGACCCAAUCUCUUAUCAAGAAAGUUAUUAAGAAUUGUCUUUCAGAAAAACUGCAAAGUCACGUAGCCAGAGCAUGCAUGAAAGAAAAAGUUCUGACCUGAAAUGACCACAGAACUAAAGACCUUCCUCCCCAUGGAACCCUGGGACGCAGACAUGAUCAGAACUUGAAUGUUAGACUCUUAUCAGAAAUGAGGGGUCCCUCAUUCAGGAAGAUCCAAUGUUAAAAUUCCUCCCCCACCCUGUCAUAAAUGUUUAGAACCUUACCAUAAAUGCUUGAAGCCUACCAAUCAAAGCCUAUCCCACCAGCAUUUCUGCAUGCCAGCCUGUUCUCCCUAACCUCUUAAAUUUUGCCCCAAAUCCUCAGUUGGGGAGACAGAUCUGAGGGCACAUGCCCCCUGUCUCCCUGCAGAUUGAUCUUGCAGAAUAAAAGUUGACUUCUCCCCCAAAGGCCGAUGCCACAAUUAACUGGCUUGUUUAUGUGCAUCAGACACAGAACGCCAAUUUUGCACUGUAACAGCAAUGGGGCCUUUAUCGAGUUGCUUAACUUCUCAGAGCCUCAAUUUCUCAUCUGUGGAAAGGGGAUGAUAUUAGUAAUAGUAUUGCUGAAGUGAAAUGAAUGUUUUAUCAUAUGUGAGCAUGUAUAGUAAACUCUGUAUAAGGGAUUAUUCUUGCUUUUUUCUGUUUGGGAGCUAAGGACAAUACAGUAAGACAUGUAGCUAAUCAAACUAGUCCAUUAUGUGGUGUAACGAGCUGUAUUCCCAUAUGCACCAGUAUUCACGAGCUUGUCCUUCCAGUCUUUGUUGUUUGGAAUUUGUUUUAUAACCAUCCAGAAGGGUUUGAGAGGAAAGGUUUAGGUCAUAUUUUAGGAGCAGAAGGGUGCUGUAGAGAAAGAGCUUCUGUUCCAAGUGCUUUGAUAGAAGCACAAGCACUGCCAAGCUCUAGGAAACCAAAGCAGCCUGUCCAG